CUACGGGUGGCAGCAGUGGGGAAUAUUGCACAAUGGGCGCAAGCCUGAUGCAGCCAUGCCGCGUGUAUGAAGAAGGCCUUCGGGUUGUAAAGUACUUUCAGCGGGGAGGAAGGGAGUAAAGUUAAUACCUUUGCUCAUUGACGUUACCCGCAGAAGAAGCACCGGCUAACUCCGUGCCAGCAGCCGCGGUAAUACGGAGGGUGCAAGCGAUAAUCGGAAUUACUGGGCGUAAAGCGCACGCAGGCGGUUUGUUAAGUCAGAUGUGAAAUCCCCGGGCUCAACCUGGGAACUGCAUCUGAUACUGGCAAGCUUGAGUCUUGUAGAGGGGGGUAGAAUUCCAGGUGUAGCGGUGACAUGCGUAGAGAUCUGGAGUAAUACCGGUGGCGAAGGCGGCCCCCUGGACGAAGACUGACGCUCAGGUGCGAAAGCGUGGGGAGCAAACAGGAUUAGAUACCCUCGUAGUC
rnacentral:rRNA from 1 species